rnacentral:rRNA from 1 species
UUUGGCUCAGGAUGAACGCUGGCGGCAGGCUUAACACAUGCAAGUCGAGGGGCAGCAUGGGCAUAGCAAUAUGCCCGAUGGCGACCGGCGCACUGGUGAGUAACACGUAUGCAACCUGCCCCGUACAGGGGGAUAAUCCAGAGAAAUUUGGUCUAAUACCCCGUAGUCCCCGAGAGGGCAUCCUCCCGGGGGGAAAGCUCCGGCGGUACGGGAUGGGCAUGCGGCGCAUUAGCUAGUUGGCGGGGCGACGGCCCACCAAGGCGACGAUGCGUAGGGGUUCUGAGAGGAAGGUCCCCCACACUGGUACUGAGACACGGACCAGACUCCUACGGGAGGCAGCAGUGGGGAAUA